rnacentral:rRNA from 1 species
AAAGGAAUAGACGGGGGCCCGCACAAGCGGUGGAGCAUGUGGUUUAAUUCGACGCAACGCGAAGAACCUUACCAGGGAUUGACAUCCUCUGACCGCGUAUGAAAGUACGUUUUUACCAUUUUGGUAACAGAGAGACAGGUGGUGCAUGGUUGUCGUCAGCUCGUGUCGUGAGAUGUUGGGUUAAGUCCCGCAACGAGCGCAACCCUUACCUUUAGUUGCUAACAGAUAUAGCUGAGCACUCUAGAGGAACUGCCGUUGACAAAACGGAGGAAGGUGGGGAUGACGUCAAAUCAUCAUGCCCCUUAUACCCUGGGCUACACACGUGCUACAAUGGUUCGUACAAAGGGUAGCGACCGGGCGACCGGAAGCCAAUCCCGUAAAGCGGAUCUCAGUUCGGAUUGCAGGCUGCAACUCGCCUGCAUGAAGUCGGAAUCGCUAGUAAUCGCAGGUCAGCAUACUGCGGUGAAUACGUUCCCGGGCCUUGUACACACCGCCCGU